UCGAGAAUUUUUCUCAAUGGGCGCAAGCCUGAAGGAGCGACGCCGCGUGGGGGAUGAAGGGUUUCGAUCCGUAAACCCCUGUCAUUUGUGAACAAUGGUUAUUAUUUAAAAGAUGAUAGCUUGAUAGUAAUGAAAGAGGAAGGGACGGCUAACUCUGUGCCAGCAGCCGCGGUAAUACAGAGGUCCCGAGCGUUGUUCGGAUUCACUGGGCGUAAAGGGUGCGUAGGUGGCGGUGUAAGUUUGAUGUGAAAUCUCCGGGCUUAACCCGGAAACGGCAUUGAAUACUACAUGGCUGGAGGGUUGGAGGGGGGACUGGAAUUCUUGGUGUAGCAGUGAAAUGCGUAGAUAUCAAGAGGAACACCAGUGGCGAAGGCGAGUCCCUGGACAACACCUGACACUGAGGCACGAAAGCCGGGGGAGCAAACAG
rnacentral:rRNA from 1 species